rnacentral:rRNA from 1 species
AUACGUAGGUGACAAGCGUUCUCCGGAUUUACUGGGUGUAAAGGGCGUGUAGGCGGUUUAGCAAGUCAGAAGUGAAAUUCCCGGGCUUAACUUGGGCGCUGCUUCUGAAAAUGCUUUACUUGAAUGCUGGAGAGGAUAGUGGAAUUCCUAGUUUAGCGGUGAAAUGCGCAGAUAUUAGGAGGAACACCGGUGGCGAAGGCGGCUAGCUGGACAGUAACUGACGCUGAGGCGCGAAAGCACGGGGAGCAAACAGGAUUAGAUACCCUGGUAGUCCGUGCCGUAAACGAUGAAUACUAGGUGUAGGGGGUAUCGACUCCCUCUGUGCCGCAGUUAACACAUUAAGUAUUCCACCUGGGGAGUACGGCCGCAAGGUUGAAACUCAAAGGAAUUGACGGGG